UACGGAAGGCAGCAGUGGGGAAUAUUGCACAAUGGGCGCAAGCCUGAUGCAGCCAUGCCGCGUGUAUGAAGAAGGCCUUCGGGUUGUAAAGUACUUUCAGUCGUGAGGAAGGUGUUAAGAUUAAUAACCUUAGCAAUUGACGUUAGCGACAGAAGAAGCACCGGCUAACUCCGUGCCAGCAGCCGCGGUAAUACGGAGGGUGCGAGCGUUAAUCGGAAUUACUGGGCGUAAAGGGCACGCAGGCGGUUAAUUAAGUUGGAUGUGAAAUCCCCGGGCUUAACCUGGGAAUGGCAUUCAAGACUGGUUAGCUAGAGUCUUGUAGAGGGGGUAGAAUUCCAUGUGUAGCGGUGAAAUGCGUAGAGAUGUGGAGGAAUACCGGUGGCGAAGGCGGCCCCUGGGACAAGACUGACGCUCAUGU
rnacentral:rRNA from 1 species